rnacentral:rRNA from 1 species
UACGGAGGGUGCGAGCGUUGUCCGGAAUCACUGGGCGUAAAGGGCGCGUAGGCGGCCCGGCAAGUCAGUGGUGAAAGCCCGGGGCUCAACCCCGGGAGGCGGAUGGAUACUGCUUGGCUCGAGUCCGGAAGAGGCGAGUGGAAUUCCCGGUGUAGCGGUGAAAUGCGCAGAUAUCGGGAGGAACACCAAUGGCGAAGGCAGCUCGCUGGGACGGUACUGACGCUGAGACGCGAAAGCGUGGGGAGCAAACAGGG